rnacentral:rRNA from 1 species
UGCAAGUCGAAUGGGUUUAGACCCAUGGCAAACGGGGUAGUAACAGGUAGGAACGUACCCGAGAGUCGAGGAUAAUCCGAGGAAACUCGGAAUAACACUCGAUAGUCUCUAAGGAGUAAAAAUUUAUUGCUCUCGGAUCGGCCUGCUUCGUAUCAGCUUAUUGGUAAGGUAAUGGCUUACCAAGGCUAUGACGCGUAGGGGAGGUGAGAGCCUGACCCCCACCAUUGGAACUGAGACACUGUCCAA